GAAGAUGACAGCGACGGGAUUGA
rnacentral:siRNA from 1 species